rnacentral:rRNA from 1 species
GGAAUAUUGGUCAAUGGAUGCAAGUCUGAACCAGCCAUGCCGCGUGCAGGAAGAAGGCCUUCUGGGUUGUAAACUGCUUUUGCCAGGGGAUACAAUUUCCUUGCGAGGAAAAUUGAAGGUACCUGGUGACUAAGCCACGGCUACCUACGUGCCAGCAGCUGCGGUAAUCCGUAGGUGGCAAGCGUGGUCCGGAUUUAUUGGGUUUAAAGGGUGCGUAGGCGGCUUUGUAAGUCAGUGGUGAAAUAUAGCAGCUUAACUGUUAGGGUGCCAUUGAUACUGCAGAGCUUGAGUACAGAUGAGGUAGGCGGAAUUGACGGUGUAGCGGUGAAAUGCUUAGAUAUCGUCAAGAACACCUAUAGCGAAGGCAGCUUACUAGGCUGUAACUGACGCUGAGGCACGAAAGUGUGGGGAUCAA